GGCUCGAUGGUCUAGUGGUACGAUUCUCGCUUUGGGCACUGCGCGUUCCAAGAGUGCGAGAGGUCCCGGGUUCAAACCCCGGUCGAGCCC